rnacentral:rRNA from 1 species
UAGGACUCUCGGCAAUGGAUAUAUGGUCUUCUUGCAUCGAUGAAGAACGCACCGAAUGUGAUACGUGGUGCGAAUUGCAGAAUCCCUGUGAACCAUCGAGUUUUUGAACGCAAGUUGCGCCUGAGCCAUUGGCCCAGGGCACGUCGCCUGGGCGUCAUGC